UGGGGAAUAUUGGACAAUGGGCGGAAGCCUGAUCCAGCAACGCCGCGUGAGGGAUGACGGCCUUCGGGUUGUAAACCUCUUUCAGUACCGACGAAGCGAAAGUGACGGUAGGUACAGAAGAAGGACCGGCCAACUACGUGCCAGCAGCCGCGGUAAUACGUAGGGUCCGAGCGUUGUCCGGAAUUAUUGGGCGUAAAGGGCUCGUAGGCGGUUUGUCGCGUCGGGAGUGAAAACAGCGGGCUUAACUCGUUGCUUGCUUUCGAUACGGGGCAGACUAGAGGUAUGCAGGGGAGAAUGGAAUUCCUGGUGUAGCGGUGAAAUGCGCAGAUAUCAGGAGGAACACCGGUGGCGAAGGCGGUUCUCUGGGCAUUACCUGACGCUGAGGAGCGAAAGUGUGGGGAGCGAACAGGAUUAGAUACCCUGGUAGUCCACACCGUAAAACGUUGGGCGCUAGGUGUGGGGUCCUUUCCACGGAUUCCGUGCCGU
rnacentral:rRNA from 1 species